UAGGGAAUCUUCGGCAAUGGACGAAAGUCUGACCGAGCAACGCCGCGUGAGUGAAGAAGGUUUUCGGAUCGUAAAACUCUGUUGUUAGAGAAGAACAAGGACGUUAGUAACUGAACGUCCCCUGACGGUAUCUAACCAGAAAGCCACGGCUAACUACGUGCCAGCAGCCGCGGUAAUACGAAGGUGGCAAGCGUUGUCCGGAUUUAUUGGGCGUAAAGCGAGCGCAGGCGGUUUCUUAAGUCUGAUGUGAAAGCCCCCGGCUCAACCGGGGAAGGUCAUUGGAAACUGGGAGACUUGAGUGCAGAAGAGGAGAGUGGAAUUCCAUGUGUAGCGGUGAAAUGCGUAGAUAUAUGGAGGAACACCAGUGGCGAAGGCGGCUCUCUGGUCUGUAACUGACGCUGAGGCUCGAAAGCGUGGGGAGCAAACAGG
rnacentral:rRNA from 1 species